rnacentral:rRNA from 1 species
GAUGAACGCUGGCGGCGUGCCUAAUACAUGCAAGCCGAGCGAACAGACGAGGAGCUUGCGCCGCUGACGUUAGCGGCGGACGGGUGAGUAACACGUGGAUAACCUACCUAUAAGACGGGGAUAACUUCGGGAAACCGGAGCUAAUACCGGAUAAUAUAUUGAACCGCAGGGGUCAAUAGUGAAAGACGGUUUUGCUGUCACUUAUAGAUGGAUCCGCGCCGCAUUAGAUGGUUGGGAAGGUAACGGCCUACCAAGGCAACGAUGCGUAGGCGACCUGAGAGGGUGGUCGGCCACCUUGGAGCGGGGCCACGGUCCAGACGCCUACGGGAGGCACCAGUCGGCUAUGUUCCGCAAUGGUCGAGAGCCUUACGGAGCAGCCGCGCGUGAGUGAUGAAGGUCUUCCGAUCGUAAAGCUCUGUUAUUAGGGAAGAACAAAUGUGUAAGUAACUAUGCACGUCUUGACGGUACCUAAUCAGAAAGCCCCGGCUAACUACGUG